UUUCUGUUGAUGAUUUCACGCACUUUGCCAAAGCUCUUUAUUUUGGUGCAGCCCCAAUAGUUUGUUUGCUUUCGUUUCUCUUGACUGAGGAGACAUAUCUAGAAAAAUGUUGCUAAAGCUGAUGUCCCAGAGUUAUUGCCUGUGUUUCUUCUAGGAUGUUUCUAGUUUCA